GAGAGAGAGCAGCCAUCAUUUAUUGAUGCUGCUGAGGGGGAAGAUGAAUAGUCCGUCUGUGUACACAGCGCUGGAGAGGAGUGUGUGUGUUGCAAACAGCCGGCAUCCGAAUGCGAGUCAGCACUUAGUGUGUAUGUGAAACUGUAGAGGGCUGAAUACGAGUCACCUCGCACAGACUUACAGUGGUCAGAGUGUGAGUCUGCAGAAGUGUAGUGUGAACACAGGUCGGUGUUUCUGCUAGCGGAGGUGUCUGAAGCUCAGAGUGAGCUGCUCCACCGUCACCAUCUUGGACGUGUCUGACUCCGCCCCCUAACUCCCAGCUAAUCCAAAUAUGGUCAAAGGGGAGGGGCGUGUGUGGAGCUGAGACUUCUGUGCAUGCUGGGUGUCACUCACCUGUCACUCAAAGAGGCCACGCCCCUCAAUCCUCCAUAACUUUAGUCCUUAAUAAAAUGUAAACAGGAUGCUCCAGACGAAGUGCUCACUGGAUCAUUUUACAGAUUCCAGGAUCAAGUCAGGAUGUGCCUGAGCUGAGGAGCAGAUAAAGCUCUCAUCUUUCAAACAGAGGGAGGUCGCUCAGUGUUUACACGUCAGCGGGAAGGCGAGAGGUCAGAGGUCAGCGAGGUCGACCUUCGAGGAGGCGUUGACAGCAUGAGACGAACAAACAGAAGAGCACAAACCACGACGAAGAGGAGGAGGGAGACGCUCCAAGAGAAAGAAGAGACGAGAUUGAAAGAGAAAGAGCAGCAUCCGAGGAGAAAGAAAAGCAGAAAAAAGAUGAUGGAGAGAAUGAAUAGAAAGAAAGAAGAAAGAGAUGGACGCUAAUAGAUGUCUACAGGGACACAUAAAUCACACACAUCCUGUCUGACAAAUUGAUCGCUCUUCCACAAAUCUCCCCCGAGUGCAGCGACUGACGGCCGCUGUGUGUUUUCAGGACGACGCAGCAGAGCGGAGAAGAAGAAGAAGAUGGAGGACAGACUAAGCCUCUGCCCUGCUGACUGCGUGACCUGCCGGCUGUCCAUCAAAACCACUGUAACCAUGGUUACCACUGAGAGCGGCACACAGACGGGAGACGUGCGUGUGUGAGAGAGAGACAGCAGUGUGACAGAUGAAUAAUCAGAGCUGUAGCGCUGAUCGUCACGGAAACGAGGCCUGACAGCACCGACAACGCUGGAGAGAGAUCUCUCACACACACACACACACACACACACACACACACACACACCACACACACACACACACACACACACACACAGUAUGGAAACGCCACAGAAACAUUUUCCUCUCACAGAUCUGUCAGUGUUUUAUGUUAAUGUAAAAAACAUUGAUGUUGGAAUCAGCUUCAAACAUCCAGUACAAGACAGUGAACGCUCAACAGGAAGUUGGAGACACGAAACACAACAUCGAUUGUGCUGCAUAGACACUAAACGGACCGAGUAAAAAAGUUACUGACUGAACGCACCACAAAAAGCUUAUACAAAAUAAAUUAUAGGAAAAUAGAAUUAAACCAAAACUAUAAAACUAAAAGUAAGAUGAGGUAAAAUCAAACAAAUCUGAACUGAACUGACUUCUGCAGCACACACACACACACACACACACACACACCCACACACACACACACACACACACACACACACACACACACACACACACACACACACACACACCCCCACACACACACACCCACACACACACACACACACAAUGACACCUACCUUACCCACCCCGACUCCUGCUGCCGACCUUUACCCUUUAAUUGACACACGCUU